AAAAAUCAACCUAAGUUUAAAAAACCUCACUAUUCAGAGGUAAUACAAAUAUAUCAAAACACUCAAAAAUAUUAACAAGAAAUAGACACUGAUUCAUGCUUCACAUAGAGGAAAAAAAUAAAAAAAUAACAUUACCGAGUCACACAAAUGCAAAGAUAGCACAGAAGCAGCGCCAUUGAAGCUCUUUUGGACAGAAGAGUAGUCGGUGGACUCGCUCAAAAACACAUCCUUCACGAAAAAAACAUCCAUGCAUAUAAAAAAAUGGUAUAAAAUUAUAAGUAAACAUUAAACUAAAACACAUAUAGACAUAGUUAUGUGGAUUAUUUUUUUGAUAAACUUACAGAUACAGAAGAAAAGAAGUAAUGCUUCCUUGAAAUAGUUGGGCGCUCAUCAAGAAAAUAUUUUCUGCAAAGCACAUUCACGACAUAACUGCACACUUCACUCCCAGGAGCCAUAGAUUCGGCGAGUGAGUAAUAUCUCAGAUUGCAUCCUCCUAUGUCAACAACAAUACUCCUACAACAAAAAAAAAGGACAAAACACAAAAUACUCAGAUUCUAUGCUUAAACUUUUUUUAAAAAAGAAAGAAAAACUAUAACUUAUGUGACAGUACAAAAGAAAGCCUUACCUAGCAUGUUUGCUUUUCCCUAAUGAUAACACUACAUUAUAAACCAUCUUAUCACGUGGGGUAAGAGGGAAUCUGGUCGAUUCAGGAAUGCAAACACGCCCUGCAUCAGCAUUGACCCUUUCUUCAAUCACAAUGGACAGAGAAGGAGAGUGUCCAUCCUUUGCUGUAGCAGCAAUUUGUUCAUCAAGUUUGCUCCCAACAACAUUGUUUUUGUUGUACAAUGUAUCUGAAACCUUGGACAUCAUGUUGAGUUUAUCAUUUAGGGUCACCUCCUUUACAAAAAUCACAUCAUCAUCAUCAUCCUAUAUUUCAAAGAAAACCAAAAUGUGAAAAAAUAAUGCUCAUAACACUAAAGACAAAGGAAAAAAAAAAGAAGGGAAUUAACUUCACAGCAGCAAGCAAGCUGCUUACUGUACCCAGCAAAAACAUGAAAUUGAAAAAUGGUGUUCUCAAAAAAAAUAACCCAUGUAAACACAAAACUGACCUUUCUAGGCUCUUUACAUGUUGUAGAAGGUCCCUCAAUAACAGGAAUUUCUUGAACCUCAGGAAAAAGGACUUUAGCAUCAAUAUUAAAUGGUUGUUCAGUUGGAUUGCCCCUCGGCACAACACGCUUUGCUAUAUACAAAGUCAAAAUAAAACAAUACACAAAUUAGAAGAAUGCAAAUCAAAAAUUAGAAAAAAUAGAAAGAAAAACACAAUUAGGAAGAUACUGCCUACCAGGAGCUGCAAGCAAGCUGCUAGUAACAUACUUACGCUUCAUAGGUGGUGUGAUAAUGUCACAAUCUACAGGAGAAAAAACUUAUGAAGCUAGUGAACCAUAAACAAAAAAAAUUGUUUAAAGUUUUAGUAGAAAUUUUUCUCAACACCAUUACAAUCUACAUACCCACAAAAAAUCUAGAAGUGUAAUUUUUAAAAAGGUAACAAAUUUUUUAAAAAAACUAACCAUCCAACUUGAUGCAGGAGGAAUCCACAAGAAAUUUCAUCAAAUCAACAACAAGCUUCUCGAAUUCUUCAUGCAUUCUAGGCAUUUUUGAACAACGCAAUGCAAAUACACCAACAAUACCUGAGAUUACCUGCAAAAAGAAUUGAAACAUGCAUUGGGAAAAACUGUAGUGGGGGGCAUCCCCUCACAAAUCAAGACCAAAAAAAACUCUUGCCACCUUGCAUUAAAAAUAAUGUGGCAAAAAGAAACCAACAUUUGCUUGUCAACUACAAUUAUUGGGCAAAGUCUACACAAAAAAAGUAAAACAACAUAUCCUUGUCACUCACAACUUUAAAUCAUAGAGUCACCACUUAUAUGAACAUAAAAAAAUUGUGCUAACAACAAACUUGCAAAAAUAAAAAAAGGCCAAACUAAGCAGGCACCCUCAUCACUGAAUGAAAGAGACAAUUCAUUCAGAUAUGAGAAGAUACAAUUCAUAAGGAUAGAGAUAAAAAGGCACAACUAAAAAAAAGGAUUUGUGAAAAAAAGGUACACACCUCCUUACUCAGAAUAGAUCCGAACAUAGAUUCCAGCCUUGAUUUCAAACUACCAAGAAGAAACUCUGAAUCUGUGGUUGUAUGAACAUCCUACAAAAAAAUAUACACAAAAAACAUGCGAUAAAACUAAACACAUUUUUUUUUAAAAAAAACAGAGAGGCAAAAACACACCUCUCCAGCAACAAAAGAUGCUAAAAACGACUCCAGUCUCAACUUGCAAUCACCAAUAUCAGAGGUACUGGGACCACCAUCCUAGAAAAAUAAAAAUACAGUGUUAUCAAAAAAAGAAUAAAACAGAAAUCAAACUAACACAUAGUGGUUUAGGAAUAUGGUUGCAGUUCAUUUCACAGAUACAAAGUGAACAAUAAAUAGUUGAUUGGUGCAACACUAUAAAAACAAAAAAACAUACAGACAGGUAGAUAGGAAAAAAAAAUCCAUGUACAAACAACAACCAUUUUCCUAAAAACAAUAAAUUGCUCACUCACCUUAAGCCUUCGCAAGGUCCUCACCAUUUCAGGGGUCAUCUUAGUUAUCAGGUGCUUCAAAACCUGCAUCAGCAAUAGAAAAAUGAGAAAAAAAAGACAUAUAUUACAACAAUAAAACAAUAUGCAAACCUCCUUUUUGUAAAACUCGAACAGUAAAUCAUCGAGACCAUCAGCUGGGAGACUCGCCAUUGCCACUAGACCUGUCCAGGAACAUAGCUAACCAAAAAAUUAGCAAAACUAUUAUUUAAUCAAAAACUAAAAAGAAAUAAUGCUAUCCUAUUGAAUUGCAAACUAAAAAGUCUGAUAUCAGCACUAGUAAAAGUCAAGGAACACAAAAUGUGCAAAAAAAAAGAGAGGGUGCUCAUAUCACUUCCUAUUUCCUGUUUGUUGUUUGCCAUGUUCAACAUUCACAUAAAAAGGACACAUGCUGUAAAAAUGAAAAGGACUUACACACACACCAGUCCUCAUAUACAUGCCACUCAGGGGUGCAGGGACUAAGUGAUGAACUGAUUUGAUCAAGCAAAAGAAAACACACACACAACUCGACUAGCAUGUCCCUACCCCUGGUAUUCCAAAAAAAAUAUUGAAGCUUAACAUCAACUGCUAAUUGACUAAUAUCUUCACAAAAAGGUUCAUAGAGCAGGUGUCAAAAGAAGUGAUAUACGUACAGACUACAGUCACCAUUUAGAAACAAAAAAUGCAGAUUAAUUAGCCUUGCAUCACAUAGAAGCCUUGAUAUCUAUUUUCCAGGACAAAAAUUGAAACAUGCAUUUCCUAACAACCAUAAUUGUGAUAUAACUAUUCAUCACCUAGAAAACAUAUCUAAAAUCAUAAAAGAAAUAUCCACUCCCAUUCCAAAUGCCAAAAACACCAGAUCUCAACACGCCACCAAAAACCAAGAACAAUUCAUAAAAUAAACUCAUUCAGGGAUAAAUUACAACUCAACAUGGUCCAACUCAUUCAGGACUGAAUUACUUGUUAUCAUAAUGCAUCUCACUCAGGAAUGAUUUACAACUCCAACUAGCAGAAUGAAUAUCAGAUAAUAACACAUUAAACCAAGCAGUGGCCACUUCAAAAAGCCUAAAAGCAAACUAAGAACAGAGUCUAGAAUUGAAUCAAAAAUGCUCAAUCGCCCACAUGCAAAAAACAUGGAUCGACUAAUAAAAAGAUCAUCACUACGCAAUAUAAGCAAAUCUAGAAAUUUAAAAUGAAACAUGAUUAAAUAGUCAGAAAUCCAUGUCCACUAUUUAGUGUAGC
rnacentral:lncRNA from 1 species